rnacentral:rRNA from 1 species
CUACGGGCUGCACCAGUGGGGAAUAUUGCACAAUGGGCGCAAGCCUGAUGCAGCCAUGCCGCGUGUAUGAAGAAGGCCUUCGGGUUGUAAAGUACUUUCAGCGGGGAGGAAGGGAGUAAAGUUAAUACCUUUGCUCAUUGACGUUACCCGCAGAAGAAGCACCGGCUAACUCCGUGCCAGCAGCCGCGGUAAUACGGAGGGUGCAAGCGUUAAUUGGAAUUACUGGGCGUAAAGCGCACGCAGGCGGUUUGUUAAGUCAGAUGUGAAAUCCCCGGGCUCAACCUGGGAACUGCAUCUGAUACUGGCAAGCUUGAGUCUCGUAGAGGGGGGUAGAAUUCCAGGUGUAGCGGUGAAAUGCGUAGAGAUCUGGAGGAAUACCGGUGGCGAAGGCGGCCCCCUGGACGAAGACUGACGCUCAGGUGCGAAAGCGUGGGGAGCAAACAGGAUUAGAUACCCGAGUAGUC